rnacentral:rRNA from 1 species
UACCAGCUCUCCGAGUUGUAGGGAUGAUUAUUGGGCUUAAAGCGUCCGUAGCUGGCUUAGCAAGUCUCCUGUUAAAUUCAGCGACCUAAUCGUUGAGCCGCGGGAGAUACUACUAGGCUAGGAGGCGGGAGAGGUCGACGGUACUUUCGGGGUAGGGGUGAAAUCCUAUAAUCCCGGGAGGACCACCAGUGGCGAAGGCUGUCGACUAGAACGCGCUCGACGGUGAGGGACGAAAGCUGGGGGGAGCGAACCGGAUUAGAUACCCGGGUAGUCCCAGCUGUAAACUAUGCGGGCUAGGUGUUGGGGUGGCUACGGGCCACUUCAGUGCCGCAGGAAAGCCAUUAAGCCCGCCGCCUGGGGAGUACGGCCGCAAGGCUGAAACUUAAAGGAAUUGGCGGGGGAGCACCACAAGGCGUGAAGCUUGCGGUUC